rnacentral:rRNA from 1 species
GAUGAACGCUGGCGGCGUGCCUAAUACAUGCAAGUCGAGCGAACGAACGGUAAGCUUGCCUCUCUGAAGUUGGCGGCGGGCGGGUGAGGACCACGUGGAUAACCUAUCUAUAAGGCUAGGAUACCUGCAGGAAAGCGGAGAUAACAGCGGAUAAUACGGUGAAACGUAUGGAUCAUAGGUGAAACACGGUCUUGCUGAGACUAGUAGGCGUAUGCUCGCUGCAUUAGCUAGUUGGUAAGGUAACGGCCUACCGAGGCAACGAUGCAUAGCUGACCUGAGAGGCUGAUCGGCCACACUGGAACUGAGACACGGUCCAGACUCCUACGGGAGGCAGCAGUGGGGAAUCUUGCACAAUGGGCGAAAGCCUGACGGAGCAACGCCGCGUGGGUGAUGAAGGUCUUCGGAUCGUAAAACUCUGUUAUUCGGGAGGAAGAGAAGUAUAUGUAACUCUGCACGUCUUGACGGUACCUAAACAGAAAGCCCCGGCUAACUACGUG